rnacentral:rRNA from 1 species
UACAGAGGGGGCAAGCGUUAUUCGGAAUUACUGGGCGUAAAGGGCGCGUAGGCGGCCUUCUAAGUCAGACGUGAAAUCCCCCGGCUUAACCUGGGAACUGCGUCUGAUACUGGGAGGCUUGAGUAUGGGAGAGGGAUGUAGAAUUCCAGGUGUAGCGGUGAAAUGCGUAGAGAUCGGGAGGAAGGCCGGUGGCGAAGGCGGCGCUCUGGAACGUGCCUGACGCUGAGACACGAAAGCGUGGGGAGCAAACAGG